GUAGCCAUGGCUGACCUGGAAUUCUGUAUAGACCCAGCUAGAUCUCAAUUCAGGAGUCUGCUUGCAUCUGCUUUCCUAGUGCUGGGAUUCAAGACAGAGUCUGGCUAAGUGGCUGGCUGGCCUGAAAUUCAACAUGUAGGUCAUGUGGACCUCAAACCUGCCAUGAUCUUCUUGCCUCUGACUGCCAAGUACUGGAAUGACAGGCAUGUGCCACCUUGCCCAGCCUAACAAUUACUUCUGAUCUCUUCUGACACCGUUGGUCAUCACUCCUUACCCGGCGUGGACCAGCAUGUAUGAGAUAAACCUCCAGGCUUCUUCCCUCUUCUCAGGGAGGUCAUGAAAGACACUGAGAAGCCGUCCUGAAUCAGAGGAGCCUGGGGAGGCAGAACAACUUAAUGCAGUGUGAAACCGGGUAUUGGAAGGGACCAGAGAACGAGAAGGAGACAUUAGUGAGAAAGUCAAUCAAAUCCAAGUAAAGCCUGAAGAGCUUCAGGAAUCCCAGACUGGCCUUGAACUUGCAAAGUAGCAGAGGGUGACCUUGCUUGAAGUUCCCAUCCUCCUGUCUCCAGUUCUUGAGAGCUAGGAUUACAGCUUCUGGUCUGACCGGGUGUGAGGGCCCCUCACAGGGCGGUGUUUACCUCAGCCAGGCUGAUGGAGAUGAUGAAGAGUGGCGGCGGGAGGCAGUUGGCUCGCUCCAGAUUCACAGUCUCCAUCUCCACAUCGUCAGCAGCAGCCAUCGGCCUGGUCCUCCCUCCACCUGGAGCAGACAUGAAUGUGGG